rnacentral:rRNA from 1 species
AUUGAACGCUGGCGGCAGGCCUAACACAUGCAAGUCGAGCGAGCGGCGGACGGGUGAGAACUGUGUGGGGACUGCCCGAUAGAGGGGGAGAACUACUUGAAAAGGUAGCUAAUACAGCAUACUAUCGGAUAACCCAUAUGGGAUUAGCUAGUAGGUGAGGUAAUGGCUCACAUAGGCGAGUAUCCCUAGCUGGUCUGAGAGGAGGAUCAGCCACACUGGGACUGAGACACGGCCCAGACUCCUACGGAGGCAGCAGUGGGGAAUAUUGCACAAUGGGCGCAAGCCUGAUGCAGCCAUGCCGCGUGUAUGAAGAAGGCCCUAGGGUUGUAAAGUACUUUCAGUCGGGAGGCGUUACCGACAGAAGAAGCACCGGCUAACUCCGUGCCAGCAGCCGCGGUAAUUC